AAACGCUAGGGGUGUCGAUAAUUUAGACUGAGAGUUUACCCUUUGUACCUGAUCUGGAUAAUACCAGCGUAGGAAAGCUAAGUUUAU
rnacentral:ncRNA from 1 species